rnacentral:rRNA from 1 species
GUGGGGAAUAUUGGACAAUGGGCGAAAGCCUGAUCCAGCCAUGCCGCGUGUGUGAAGAAGGUCUUCGGAUUGUAAAGCACUUUAAGUUGGGAGGAAGGGCAGUAAGUUAAUACCUUGCUGUUUUGACGUUACCGACAGAAUAAGCACCGGCUAACUUCGUGCCAGCAGCCGCGGUAAUACGAAGGGUGCAAGCGUUAAUCGGAAUUACUGGGCGUAAAGCGCGCGUAGGUGGUUUUGUAAGUUGGAGGUGAAAUCCCCGGGCUCAACCUGGGAACUGCCUCCAAAACUGCAUGACUAGAGUACGGUAGAGGGUAGUGGAAUUUCCUGUGUAGCGGUGAAAUGCGUAGAUAUAGGAAGGAACACCAGUGGCGAAGGCGACUACCUGGACUGAUACUGGCACUGAGGUGCGAAAGCGUGGGGAGCAAACAGGAUUAGAUACCCCAGUAGUCC